rnacentral:rRNA from 1 species
GUGUCAGCCGCCGCGGUAAUACGGAGGGUGCAAGCGUUAAUCGGAAUUACUGGGCGUAAAGGGUGCGUAGGUGGUUGAUUAAGUUAUCUGUGAAAUUCCUGGGCUCAACCUGGGCGUGUCAGAUAAGACUGAUUGACUUGAGUAUGGGAGAGGGUAGUGGAAUUUCCGGUGUAGCGGUGAAAUGCGUAGAGAUCGGAAGGAACACCAGUGGCGAAGGCGGCUACCUGGCCUAAUACUGACACUGAGGCACGAAAGCGUGGGGAGCAAACAGGAUUAGAUACCCUGGUAGUCCACGCUGUAAACGAUGUCAACUAGCUGUUGGUUAUAUGAAUAUAAUUAGUAGCGAAGCAAACGCGAUAAGUUGACCGCCUGGGGAGUACGGUCGCAAGAUUAAA